rfam:Escherichia coli ISC11, WGS project CBWP01000000 data, contig: c19
CUGGAGCUUAAUUGAUGACUUACAUUGCUCGUUUCAACGGUCUACUACUACUAAACGCAUCUUCGUUGCGCGGUAGACUGGUGGACGACAUUCAGCAUUAAGUCAGCUCCAGUUAAGACAAAAACCCGCGCCGUUGCGCGGGUUUUUUU